rfam:Brachypodium distachyon strain Bd21 chromosome 1, whole genome shotgun sequence.
CGUGUAUUCCCUCCGAUCCAAACUAAUUGUCACAGCUUUGUCUAGAUAUGCAUGUAUCUAGACACGUUUUAGUUUGUAGGUACAUGUGUAUCUAGACAAAGCUGCGACAAUUAAUUUGGAUCGGAGGGAGCAGUUC